GACGAACGCUGGCGGCGUGCUUAACACAUGCAAGUCGAACGAAGCGGCGAACGGGUGAGUAACGCGUAAUCAACCUGCCCUUCAGAGGGGGACAACAGUUGGAAACGACUGCUAAUACCGCAUACUGAAGGAGGGGAUUGCGCCUGGUUGGCUAGUUGGAGGGGUAACGGCCUACCACGGCGGUGAUCAGUAGCCGGUCUGUGAGGAUGGACGGCCGCAUUGGGACUGAGGACCGGCCCAGACUCCUACGGGAGGCAGCGGUGGGGAAUCUUCCGCAAUGGACGAAAGUCGGACGGAGCAACGCCGCGUGAGGGAUGACGGCCUUCGGGUUGUAAAGCUCUGUUAAUCGGGACGCGGUACCGGAAUAGAAAGCCACGGCUAACUACGUGCCAGCCGCCGCGGUAAUUC
rnacentral:rRNA from 1 species